UUCGUUGGAUUUAAACAAAUUUACAAAAACAAAAAGAAUAAAAAUAACCGCUGGAAACAUAAUCCACUUUAUAUGAGACGCAUACUGUUAAUAACAAGCUUAUUUAUAAGGAAAUUAAAAGUGCUUCUUUUUAAGUGAUGUAGUCUACAGUUGUGUCAAUAUAAUCGGGCUCAAGUACAAGGACAAAAACCAAAGUGUACUCAUACAAUACCUGAGAGGUAAAGGAACCUUGGU
rnacentral:lncRNA from 1 species